rnacentral:rRNA from 1 species
CCUACGGGCGGCAGCAGUGAGGAAUAUUGGUCAAUGGACGAGAGUCUGAACCAGCCAAGUAGCGUGAAGGAUGACUGCCCUAUGGGUUGUAAACUUCUUUUAUAAAGGAAUAAAACGAGGCACGUGUGCCUUUUUGCAUGUACUUUAUGAAUAAGGAUCGGCUAACUCCGUGCCAGCAGCCGCGGUAAUACGGAGGAUCCGAGCGUUAUCCGGAUUUAUUUGGUUUAAAGGGAGCGUAGAUGGGUUGUUAAGGUCGUUGUGAAAGUUUGCGGCUCAAACGUAAAAUUGCAAUUGAUACUGGCAGUCUUGAGUACAGUUGAGGUAGGCGGAAUUCGUGGUGUAGCGGUGAAAUGCUUAGAUAUCACGAAGAACCCCGAUUGCGAAGGCAGCUUACUAAACUGUGACUGACAUUGAUGCUCGAAAGUGUGGGUAUCAAACAGGAUUAGAUACCCGAGUAGUC